rnacentral:rRNA from 1 species
GUCCACGCCCUAAACUAUGUCAACUAGACGUUGGGCUCUUUAAUGAGCUUAGUGUCGAAGCUAACGCGUUAAGUUGACCGCCUGGGGAGUACGGCCGCAAGGUUGAAACUCAAAGGAAUUGACGGGGGCCCGCACAAGCGGUGGAGCAUGUGGUUUAAUUCGAUGCAACGCGAAGAACCUUACCAGCCCUUGACAUCCUGGGAACUUUGUAGAGAUACAUUGGUGCCUUCGGGAAUCCAGAGACAGGUGCUGCAUGGCUGUCGU